GACGAACGCUGGCGGCGUGCUUAACACAUGCAAGUCGAGCGGGAUCCAACCGGUGGCAACACCGGGGAAGAUCUAGCGGCGAACGGGUGAGUAACACGUGAGCAACCUGCCCCGAAGACUGGGAUAACACCGGGAAACCGGUGCUAAUACCGGAUGUCGUCAUUAGGCCGCAUGACCUGAUGAUGAAAGGAUUCAUCGCUUCGGGAGGGGCUCGCGGGCUAUCAGCUUGNGGUGGGGUAACGGCCUACCAAGGCGACGACGGCUAGCUGGUCUGAGAGGACGACCAGCCACACUGGGACUGAGACACGGCCCAGACUCCUACGGGAGCAGCAGUGGGGAAUCUUGCGCAAGUGGGACGAAAGCCUGACGCAGCAACGCCGCGUGGGGGAU
rnacentral:rRNA from 1 species